rnacentral:rRNA from 1 species
UCAGGAUGAACGCUAGCUACAGGCUUAACACAUGCAAGUCGAGGGAAACGACAUCGAAAGCUUGCUUUUGGUGGGCGUCGACCGGCGCACGGGUGAGUAACGCGUAUCCAACCUGCCACCACUUGGGGAUAACCCUGCGAAAGUAGACUAAUACCCAAUGACGUCUCUAGAAGACAUCUGAAAGAGAUUAAAGAUUUAUCGGUGAUGGAUGGGGAUGCGUCUGAUUAGCUUGUUGGCGGGGUAACGGCCCACCAAGGCGACGAUCAGUAGGGGUUCUGAGAGGAAGGUCCCCCACAUUGGAACUGAGACACGGUCCAAACUCCUACGGGAGGCAGCAGUGAGGAAUAUUGGUCAAUGGACGAGAGUCUGAACCAGCCAAGUAGCGUGCAGGAUGACGGCCCUAUGGGUUGUAAACUGCUUUUAUAAGGGAAUAAAGUGAGCCUCGUGAGGCUUUUUGCAUGUACCUUAUGAAUAAGGACCGGCUAAUUCCGUG